rnacentral:rRNA from 1 species
GACGAACGCUGGCGGCGUGCCUAAUACAUGCAAGUCGAGCGAACAGAUGAGGAGCUUGCGCCUCUGACGUUAGCGGCGGACGGGUGAGUAACACGUGUAUAACCUCCCUAUAAGACUGGGAUAACUUCGGGACACCGGAGCUAAUACCGGAUAAUAUCUUGCACCGCAUGGUUCAAUAGUGAAUGUCGGUUUUGCUGUCACUUAUAGAUGGAUCCGCGCCGCAUUAGCUAGUUGGUAAGGUAACGGCUUACCAAGGCAACGAUGCCUAGACGACCGGAGAGGAGGGUAGGCCACGCGGGAACUGGGACACGGUCCAGAGGCCUACGGGACGCAGCAGUAGGGAAUCUGACGCAGUGGGCGAAAGCUUGACGGAGCAACGGGGCGCGAGUGAUGAAAGUCUUCGGAGCGUAAAACUCUGUUAUUAGGGAAGAACCAAUGUGUAAGUAACUGAGCACGUCGUGACGGUACCUAAUCAGAAAGCCACGGCUAACUACGUG